rnacentral:lncRNA from 1 species
GGGCCUCCAUCUUUCCGACUAAUUGUUUCCCCUUUCAUUUCACAACACGAAGGAGAGAGGGAGUCGAAGGAGAGGAGGCCCCUCGCCGAGCGACAGACGAGAGGUACAACCAUUGGAAGUCCAUGAUCUCAUUGACUACGAAUUCUUCGCCAGUGCUUUCAGUAUUCUCUCCUCUCUUUCUUUUCCCCUUCACUCUUCUUCUUAUUCCUUUCAUGAGAUUCUUGGUCCUUCUGGGGUUUUGAAUGAAUGCCGAGAGUUUCUGACCUAGGGCUUCGAUUCUUGCUUCACUUUUUUUAGAGUUCCAGGGGAAAUCAACCGUUUCUUAUUCCAAUGGAGGUUUUCAUCGAUUCUUGGAGGGUUUUAGCUGGCGGGGUUUUGAUUCUUCGUUAGUUUCUUCAAUUUUUUGAUUCGCAUUAUCAUUGAAUUUUUCUGUUUUAGUUUAAAAAAGCUGAAACUAAGGGAAGUAACGCAAAGCCUGUAGCUUAACCGAGUAGAUGAUGAAGAAAGAGAGGAUCUUGGUGCACGCCGAUGGACAUAACGGUAGUUUGGACCAUGUUUAGUAUUUAUUUAUUUUGUUUAUUUUUAAUUUUCAGAGUGCGACUAAAAAUACGGGGCAACAUUGCGUCCUUUAACCGAAUAUGAAUGAAACUUUUAACCAAAAAGAGGGUAGAGGGACCUUAUCAAUGAUGGUGGUUUAGAUGCAUGGGGAGGACUAGGAAGUGAUGAUGAGAGGAGAGGAUCGGGAGAAUCUGGGGUGUGAUGGUGAUGAGAAAGAAGUAAGGAAUAGGAGUAAGAAGAUUAGAAGAUAUAAAAGAUAUAUGAAAAUUUCAUUAAUUUAUAUAUCCUUUAUUUUAGCAUUGCCGGAUGACAAAUUCUCCAACUCAGUGGACUCUGUUGGAAGAGCUUAGGCGAAAAUAUAUUCUGUUCUAAUAUUUUAUCACCAGAAAAUCUAGAGAUAAUGUUUUUUGAUGCAAGUGAACUAGUUUUAAUAUCACUACUGCAGCUGCAAUAAUAUUGUGGAUAAUAUUUCCUGAGGUUUUAUUCCUUUUCACUCACUGUCACCGAAAAUCACAUAAUUGGUUCUUGUUUCUUCUUCACUUAUUCUUGUUGUUUGUGUAGGAACACUAUUUGCAUAUUCUUUUCUUUAAAUCCAUUGGUAGUGCGAACUAUAUUUGUGUCUGGAAGCAAUGUUUUUUUCUUUCUUACUUCCGAGUCUUUUAAUCUUAUCACUGUGAAACUGAGGAGAAUUUGGUACUUUGAACAUUUUUUUUCAAUGAAAUCCUUAAUUAGAUCUGUAAAGAAAAUGAAAAAAGACAUUGGUAUUUCUCCACGAAAAAGGCAUAUGAACAAUUAAAAUCAUAGUAAGAUAGUUUGAACUCUGCCUGAUGAAUAUAUUUGUAGAAUGAAGUCCAUGAAUUCCCACAAAAACAAAAAAAAUACUCAUGUCACACAUUUCUAUUGACCUUCAAUUGUGACUGUAAUUUUAUUGCUCGAAGACGAAUUUCUUUCCAUCAAAGGAGUUGCUAUGUAGAAACCUGGCCUUUGAGGCUGAGGUAGCAGUGCACUUUCAGUGCCUAACAUGAGCACUACCUCUGCCAUUGUUGGUCUAUACUCACUCCAUUCUUGCACACACAAGAGAGCCACUUGGAUAUACCGUAAUAUUUUAAACUCCUGAUAUGCAGAUCCCACUGCUUCAUCAAGUAUUUCCAAGCAUCUACCUUCUGUCCAUAGUCUCCAUGCCUGUGAUAAUCCACGUACAUUUAGAAUGAACAACUAGAAGUUAUAUCUAGAAUGAUGACAUUUUUGCAUUCAAGUACUCACAUGUCCUAAAAGGUCUACACGAGCUUCUGCUUGAUUGAUCAUUCUAUUCUUCUUACCACUUAAGAUUUCUAACACUAGAACACCAAAGCUGAAGACAUCUGAUUUCACUGAAAAGAUACCACCCAUUGCAUACUCUGGUGACGUAUAUCCACUGCAUGUCAUUAGCAAAAUUAGUUCAUGCAACUAGGAUAUUGCACUCAGAUUUAUACUUUGUGAGUUGAUACACUUAUGUACUUGCUAUGUCCCAACAACUCUAUUUGUAUUCUCUUCAAUUUGGUCAACCUUAAAAAUUCUUGCAGUACCGAAGUCUGAGAUUUUUGGGUUCAGCUCCUCAUCAAGAAGAAUAUUGCUGGCCUUCAAAUCUCUGUGAAUAAUUUUCAACCUAGAGUCUUGGUGAAGGUAAAGAAGUCCUCGAGCAAUUCCUAUGAUGAUGACGAGGCGCUUUUGCCAGUUCAAAAGUGCACUUCUUUUCCUAUCUGGUCCAAAGUUACACUCCUUAUAGUUUGACAAAUGUAAUCUGAAAUUCAACUUAGCUACUUAUUCUUUACCCUUUUCCCUCCGAGAUAAGUCCACUCCAUAUUUUAAAUAAAUAUAAUCUAUCAUUUACAAAAACUUAUACUCUUUAAAUCCAUCAUUAAACUUCUAAUCAUAAGUUGCACUUAUAUUUAGCACAAGAAAGAAUGCCUUAUAUGCUAAUCCUUAUGCAAUUUGAAAUAAAAUCUUUUUGCAUGUUAGUUUAUUAGCGAGGACAUGAGGUUCAGAUUCUGCCUAUUUCAUUUCAAUAGGAGACCUAAUACGUAGUGGUGAAUUAAGGGUAAAGGAAGUGUCAAGUUACAGGAAUCAGAUUAUCUACUGCCACCAUCACCACCACCUCUGCUCAUCUUUUAAAAAACCAACUUGAUUACCUAAAAUGCAUUCUGUCAUAAUUUUAUUCCCUAGACAUUCAUACCACAUACACCUUUUUUUUGAAUGAUAAAAAUCUAUAUAGUGUAUGAAAAGUCAGAUAGAUAUUCUUCAUGGCUGUCUAAGCUUACUUAGCAAUUAUUAUGUUUGAAAUUAUUUCACCUUAUAUGGAAAAAGAAUAUAUCCAUCUUAAUUGUUAAUCCAUUGCCUCAUCAAUCCAGUCUUGGUUUUCUAAAAUCCUGCAUGAUUGACCUACACAGAAGACCUAAGCAGAAGUCCGAAUAUAAAUUAUGAUCAACUAAAUCAAAUAUUGCCACUAAGACUGUGAGAUGUCCAUCAAACAUUGCAUUGUAUAUAAAGCAUAAAGUAGUCAAAUGGUUCAAGGAUAAAGACCAAACGGCAUAUGAAAUAGUCCAAACUUGUAUUUUGCAAGUACUCAUACACCAGUAAUCGUUCCUCUCCUUUAAUGCAGCAGCCAAGAAGGCGAACAAGAUUUCUGUGCUGAAGUUUGGCUACCAGCAACACCUCAUUUGUGAAUUCAUGUAUGCCCUGCACAGAAUCUUUGGACAACCUCUUGACAGCAAUCUUUUCUCCAUCUUCCAAUUGACCCUGACAAUUGCUAUAUUUAGAUGAGUUCCACAAUGCUCUUUUUUCAAAGAGUUUGUGUCUUGCAUAACUGUAGGAUCUAAUAGCAGUAUGCCCUGUAGUCAAAAAAAUUACCUUGCAAACAGGGCCAAAUACACCCUCUCCAAGUUUAUUGUCUUCAGAAAAGUUGUUGGUGGCAGUUCUUAUUAUAUGUAUAUCAAAUAAAGGUAACUCUAGCUUGUUUCCUCUGCUUUCCCUUAGUGGGUACUAACUGUUUCACCUAGGAUGAAAAUUUAGUAUAACAAGAUCAAUUAUGUGAACUUCUUGAAUUCAACUUUACUUGCAUCUUCAUUCCAAAAAGUUUCAAAACAAAAAGAAAAAUAAUAUUUGUAAAUAGAACAACAAAAGUUUCAUUCAAGAUAGCAAUUAUUUUAAUUCACUCACACUCACAAGUAUGUAUUCACAUGGGUACAAAUGUGGAAUUCAUGGUUGACAGAGUGCUGGGUAUCAGGAGCUAAAGAAUAUACUGGGUAACAAUCAGAGCUCAGCAAGGUCUGUCCCAGAAACCAUGCUUAGAUUGAUUGAACCUUGGGUGUCACUCUGCACUGUAAAGCAAGCUGAAAGUCAUGCCAUGGUUCAGUAGAGAUUAUCGAGUAUAUUGUAAUUUCUUCCUCAAUUAGCCUGCAAAUAUCAUUUAUACUAAUGGGUUAUGGGGGCCCUAUCCUUGUCUUUUCUCAUUACACACACGCACACAUGUAUAUGUACCUAAUUAGCAGAUUAAUGAUGAAACAAUAUUGAGGUCAUAAUGUAGUCAUUGUCAAUGUAGAACAAGCCUGCAGAACAUAAUAAAAACAAAUGUAACAUGCCAUGCAAGUUUGUUUUCAAAACAAUAUGCCAAGGAAAUGUAGAUGGGUAGAGUUACUAACUACCGACGGCAACAUGUGAAGAAAUAUAUUGGAACUUAAUAUGUGUAUACAAUAUAUUCGAGAUAAAAGCAUUUAGUAGAAUUGAAAAUGCUUGUCAACUGGGAUGUGUUAAUUUAUUUUCACAGCUGGACUGACUUUAAUAUAUUUUCUGGGAUUUUCUGGAGCUUAUAAUAUUAAACUACUGACGACUAAUAUAUGCAUGGUUUGCAUUUGAGGUGAACACUGGAUCAUGGGACCGCGGUGAACCUGGCUUAAUUAGCCAUUGUUAUUAUUUUUCUUAAUGAGUUGUUGGUCUUUUGAUCCAUGGCGCCGCUACUCGGGUUUGAAUAUGAGACCUCUCACUUGGAGGAAUGGAUACCAGCUUUUAGUAUUGAAUAGCCACUGUAUUAUUCUCUAUGUUAGUGUUGAAUAGCCACCUUAUUAUUCUGUCUUGGGCAGAGUGUAAAAUGAGGGGCCCUAUUAACCAGAACCAUAUUCAUUGGGAAGACAUUGGAAUGUGCUGCGGGGAUACAGUUUUUGGGACACUGGAUUCACAUGGUUCGGUCUCAGGUCAGGAUUUCUUUUAUGUAUCUUUUCCAGUACAUCAUAGCAUAUGUUUCCUUGCAUAGUAUGGCUUUCCAUAUUUGCUUAAAAUGAGUUUAAAAGUUCUCUGAGUUUAUUUUUGGUUUUUGAGAAUAUAUAUUGUUUUCAUUUCUUUAUUUACUAUAAAUUUUUUCUCAGAGUUACUUCUAAACCAUUCUCUGAAUAGAGGUGACACCUAAAGAUCUUGCAUCUGCCAUCAAUAAUGGCCAUAGAGCUUCAGCAGCUCUAGAAAGCGAUAUGCACAUGGCUUGUCUUAUGCAUUUUUUGGAUAAUGAAAACUUGUUAGAGGGUAGCCAACGACCAUUCGCAGCUAAAGCUUCCUCCUCUUGAGACACAAUAAACUCAAAAGCUAAACAAAAAUAUUAUCUACAGAAUGUAAACAUAGAUGGGGAAUCAUGAGAGAAAUUAGUGUUUGUUUAACUGAAAUUGAGCCAAGGCAGACUCUAAACAUUAAGGGGUUAAAUGGAUAGAGGAAGAUAACAAGAGAAUUAGUAGCUUUCCACCAUAUUGAUCUUCACUGCAUCAAAUCUUUAUCCCUAGGGAUCAUUCACUGAUCAAUAUGUUCACUAAUUAUUAUUUCUUGGCCACAACUUUUUCUAGAAGGGAAACACUCAAACGAACCUUUUUGUAGAACCUUAAAACACACUUCCAUUACAAUUAGAGGUGACAAUGCUUAACCUAUCUAACUUGAUUCAAUUUGUUGUAGGUUGGCUUGGAUUACUUGUUUAAUAAAAUGGUCAAGCAUGUGUCUGGAUUUUUGACCUGUUCAAUAAACAAGUUGGGUUUGGAUGGACAAAUUUUUGACUGAUCUUGUAUUUGACAUGACCUGAUUGCUACCCCUAAUUACAAUGAGCUUGACAUUUGCUCAUAUAUUUUGGUUCGGAAGAGUGAAGUAGGAAAAUAAAAAUUUCCAUUCCUUGUUUGGCUUUUCUUAGAUGCCAAUUCCAAGAAGGAUUGUGAUGUAUCAAGGCAUCCAGAAACUAGGUCUAAUGAAAUCAACUAGAGUAUUAAUACAGGAGUGAAAUGCUUGUAAUAUGACUAAAAUAGUUUGACAUGGAUGAAGUGGUCAUUGGUGCCUUAAAUUAUUAAAAGAAAGCUAUAUGGUGCACAGGACCAAUACGGUGCACUUCUAAUGGACUCAUGAAUGAUGUCAACUUAAUUAUUCUGUGCAUUGCGCAACCUGAAUAAAAUCAUUUUACUUGUUAGCUUGAGCGUUGAAUACUAUUUUACUUCACUAUUAGGCAUAAAAUUGUCUUAUGGAUGCUUAGUGCCAAAUGUUGAUGAAAUCUGUUCUGAAAAAUGUUGAAGAAAUCAAUGCUAAUACCAGAACUAAAGCCAUUAAUAUUAUAUAAUAGCUUGUAUAAAUGAUAGAUCAUGUCUGUUUGUGUAGGUAAAGGUACCUUGCUUUCUUUUUCUGUUCUUCUUCCAAGGAAGUCGAAUAUAGCACACAAAUAGAAGAAACCCUGCCAGUGAAGAAAUGAUGAUGACUAUGACAGGCUUCUUUUUAUGGUAAUUACCCCUUAUCUGGCCUGCACAACAAAUUUUUGGAAUUAGGACUUUCACUUGGGUACAAUUCUUAUGAUAUGGAAUAUCAGUUAGAUAGUUUGUUGUACACUAACCUAUCAUAUAAUUAUGCUUUGUGACAUGUAUGUUAGAACUGGUAUACUAAUUACACCUCGACUUUGUCAUAAGAACAUGUCCCUACAUUCAGCGUGCCGACAAGCACAAACUCAACAGAACUAUAUCACCAAGUCACAUUCCCUUAGAACCAUAUAAAGUAAAAUAAUAUGGUUAUUUUGACAAAACCAACAAAAUAUGUUAAGAGGUCUACGAUAAUCUCUUUAGUCAUCUACCUCCUUUUCACUCAAUAAAGGAUAAUAUCUUUCGUCAUCCGAUGCAAUCCAAAAGCCAUAUCCCGCUCCUAAAAAGUUCCAAAUGUAGUCCAUAUCACUGGUACAUUCCACACCUGACUCGCGCCUUUUCCUUCCCCUCUCAAGAAAUAAUCGUUACCUAAUUCAGAAGAUGCAAGCUGAACAUAUAGACUCUCCCCUCCUUCGGUGAACAGUCUAAUAUCGAUGAGAUCUCCGGUCCAUGUUACACAGCCGCUCCCUUCAUUGAUAGCAUAGGCGCUGCAAGUGCAGUUCUUCGGGCACCAGUCUUCACACUCUUCCGGACUUUUGUUGCUGUGCACGGUGGCAUUUGAUGUAUGGGGCAACUUCACUUGUUGCAGCCCAAAGAAACCAUCCGAUGAACAAUUUAAAGCUGUUCUCCUUACACAGCCAUCAGAAUGUCUCUCAAUCUCCAAUUUUGAGGAGACUUUGGACUGAAUCCCUUCAAACAAUCACAGGCCGGUGAGUAGCUUGUACUGCAUACGCCACUAGCUCCACAGUUAGCAUACUCGUCACACGGCUCUUUUGGAAGCCACCAGUAAAGGUCCCAUACAAGUUUUGGUUUAGGCCGUACCAAACGCUGAACCACUCCAGUCUCGUUCAAAAAAAGACGAGAUAGAAUAGAAUUGUCAGUACUUCGUAGGUGUAGGUGGUCUCAUAGUCAUUGGAAAUUAGAUUAGACCUGAGCAUGUUAUUUGUUUUCAUCUCUGGAAUGCCAUUAAAUCCAUGUCCAUUCCAGGGUCCAGUGUGAUAUAUUUGGACAGAUCCUCUCCAUAAGAAAAGCUCUGGUACUGGAUUAACAUGUAUCUUGUAGGAGUCGUCCCCUGGAGAAGGGUCAGGGGAACUCUUCCAUGACGUGAGAUGCCUGUCAAAAUUGGUCUUAAAUCCCACCCAAGCUUCAUACCUCAUAGAAGUGUGUUACUCGGAUGAUCAAAGCUCUGCCACCAUAAAUUCUUUGAAGUUCCUUCAAUCAGGACAAGAUUUCUCGAGUCUAGGAGCUGUAUGACGGGAUUAAUUGCAUUGGGGGGGUGUUUGGUUGGGGGGAGUGGGGGUCCGGAAUCGGAAUGGGUGACUCCCAUUCCAACCGUUUGGUUGGGAGGAGUCCUAUUCCGAUUCCAGGGUGGAAUAGGAAUGGCUCAAUUUAUAUAAAAUUCAAUCCCUACUCUCCUCUAUGGAUUCAAUUUUCCAUUUCAAUUUCGAUUCCGAUUUUAAUUUCGGUCACAAACCAAACACUUCGGGGGAUUUGGCCAUUCCGAUUUCGAUUUUAAGUCAUUCUAAUUUUCAUUUCCAUUCUGAUUCCGGUUGCGAACCAACAAACACCCCUGGAUAUUUUUGUUGACCACAAGAUAUGGCCGACGCUAUCUAGUAGGACCAGCUUUCCAUCAUGUGUGAGACUGAGAACCCCCGUGGAGCCGUUAAGGGGAGACAACCUAUUGGCAACCCACACAACUGUUUUAUCUGGAGUGCCUUUGUAAUUUAUCCCCAAGUUUCGAUUCUUUGAGUCACCAGGGCUGAAGAAGCCCAAUUUGAAGGUCCCACCUGACGAGAUUAAGGUUUGUCCAUCUACAAUGGAUUUGGUCGGCGUUGUCGUAUCUCCUGCAAUGGAAAGAGAUUAAGGUUUCCAUUAUUUAAUAGAGAAUGAAACGAGAAAGAAAAUAUGAUUAGUACGUCAAGUUUUCACCUGCUUUACAUGUUUCAUGUUUCAUCUAGUUAUUGGAGGCUCAAUAAUCUAUAAAAGAUAUUUCGGGGGUGUUUGGUUCGUAACCGGAAUCAGAAUAGAAAUGAGAAUCGGAAUGGCUUGGAAUCGGAAUGGCCAAAUCUCCCGAAGCAUUUGGUUCGUGACCGGAAUCGGAAUCGAAAUCAGAAUGAAAAAUUGAAUCCAGAGAGGAGAGUAGAGAUUGAGUUCUAUAUAAAUUGAGUCAUUUCCAUUCCACUCCGGAAUCGAAAUUGGAAUGGGAUUCCUCCCAAUCAAACCGUUGGAAUGGGAGUCAUCCAUUCCGAUUCUGAUUCUAGAUCCCCACUCACCCCAACCAAACACUCCUUUCAUUUACUAAAACAGAGUUUAGUCGCUUAUGUCGAGGCACUUUGCUCAAAGAAACCUGAUCUGUAGGCACAAUUGUAGUCUCUAAGAUAGUAAGACUCCAAUGUUGCUUGGAAAGUGCUUAAAGAAUCAUCGAAUGGGCCGUGUUCCUCAACAUCUAUACUCACAUAAAAUGGCCUGCGAAGCACAGCUCGGUUACUGAGACCGUGGAGUCAAGAAAGACCACCUUAAGUCAUGUUCCUAGUCUUUAUUGAUAUUUUUCUAAAAUAAAAAGUAAACUCGAAUUAUAUGUGUAAAUUUCUUGUGUAUUACCUAUAUCUAAUGCAGCAGCUUACAAGCUGUAAAUCUGAAAUCUUUAUCAGAUCUUUGAUUAUGAUGACGGAUAUACCACACCCAUUCCCUUCUUAUAUUUCUUACCUAAUUUAAUGAGACAUGUUUCGGAUUGAGAAUUAGGAAUUUCUUCACCAGACUUGAAAAUCAGUACUUCAUUCAGUGGCAGCUAAGGAAUAAGGGUCCUAUAACAGGUUAACAUCUCAGUUAAAUAACUAUGAUUGUAUUUUGGAUUAUGCUAUAACUGUUUCUUUUUUUGGAUUAUGGUAUUUUUAUAAUAGUUCAUAGUGAUUUUGUUGUAAUGAUCAGAUUAGGGACAAGAAAGAAUUUUCUUACUCUUCUCAACGAAAUUUAUAAAAAGAUUGAAGAAUUGCGAAAGUAAGACUUAAGUUUUCUUUUCUUUUAAUGAUAAUCGAAAACUAAGGUAUAUAAUAUCUAUUUAUAAUGAUAAAAUCCAUCUUUGCACAAGAUGAACAAGAUAUCUCUUUCUAGUUAUCUUUCCUAAAAUAAAAUUGACUAGUUGAAAUAAAUUCGAAAAAGUUAAAAUUUUUUAGAAGGUAGAUCUCUACUUCUCUAUCAAUUCUGCCGUAUGUUUUUCUGUCUUAUUUUUUUAAAUAAAAAGAUACAUCCAAUAAAAUUUCUAUUUAAAAAGAAAACUUUCAAUUUGAUUGAUUUGUUUCAAGAUCUAAAUGAUGGAAUCUAGAACUGAUGCUCGGGGUGACGCCCCUUAAAAGGUGGAGCAUCAUGUCAUAGAUUUUGAAAAGUUAUUCAAUGUAAAAAAAAGAAGAGCAUCUGAAUCAGAUGUCAUAUGAUCAAGUUAUGGCUGUUAAAAGUUUGGUUUGCAAUUUGGCUUCACAUUGUGAUUGAUCUUGUUCUUAGACCCUAUUCAGCCUUAUACAUGGUAGCCAAAGUGGUAAUUGUGUACUUUUAGAGAAACCACCAAGUGUCAAACUUAUAAAUUUUUGUGAACAAAUAACACUUGUAGCCAACUCUAUGUAAAAUGCUAGAAAACUUGGGUAGAGCUGCAAGAAGGGCCCAUAGACUGAUAAGGGAAUCAAUUCUGAAGAAUUAGAUGACUAGAUUCUAGUUUCAGACAGGUAGAAAGAACAAAAACAAGGGAUAUCCUACACUAGAAUACAACUGUUUUUUUUUUUUUUUGCAUUAAGGACAAAAAAGGGAAAAACUGUGCUUUCUGCAUCAAGGGAAGCAAGGGAACAAUAAGCUCUGGCACUCAUACCUGGCUGGCCGUGAACUGGGAUUGUAGCUGCCGUGAUUCCAAGUACUGGAAAGCAUUCCAGCAAUGUCAUUUCUCCUUUCGCUUCAUGGCAUCUAGAAAGUCUCAUCUGCCAGUACCAUUUGUCUUAUGAUAAGCCAGCGGCUUUCCCUUGAGGAUAACGUGCAGUUUGGAAUUGGUAAAAUACAAGGGUAAUGUGGCUUGUGUUGGGCAUCGGGCUGGCCACCUGAUCACUAUCGUAGACGUCAAAAAUAAUUACUUAUAACUAUAUAGAUAAGGUGAGUUGAGAUCGUAUCCACAGGGAUUGUGUUAAUUGCGGUUGAGUCAUUUUGGAUUUAAAUUAAAGAACCAAGUAGAGAGCAAUCAAGAAACUAUUUAGAUUAACUAGAAAGCAAGUAAAUAAAGAGAAAUACUUAAAGGUUGAUUGUAGAUAUGGAAGGAGUUCUUAGGAUCUCAACUGCUCUCUUAAUAAACAGAUGGUAUCCUUUUUGUCAUGCCUUUGCUAUGUAUCUAAUCAAUAGAGAUAUAACCUAGAGAGCAUGGUCCGCACCCAUAGAUCACGGCCCAUCUCUUAAAGUUAUAGGCUAGUCAAAAUUGAUUUAAAUAUCAUAAAAGAGUUGUCAUCUAAAGAUAUUCUAUCCCAAGAGCACGAACCAUACCCAUAGAUUACGGUUUGUCCUAAGGGUAAUAUACUAUUUUAGAUCGACAACUUAUGCAAAGUAAAUAAAGACAAAGAUAUAAGCAUGAAAAACAAUUCUUUAUUGCAUGAAGGAAAAGAAAUAUGAAAGAUUUCACAAUGAAAAAUAUCGUCUAAAAAGAUUACAGAUAGAGCUCCUAAGAGGUGGUUAUCUAGCCGGCCAUCGUGAGAUUCUUCACCACGAUCUGCAUUCUGAACUUUGGAGAUUCCUUUUUUGGGACUUGGAGAAGACCUUCAGUAGCACGAGGAGGAGAUUUAGUGGAGAAUAGGUUGAGAAAAGUAGGUUUGGAAGAGGUUGGAAGGUGGAAUAGGGUUGCUGGAAUUUUUAGGCUUCAAUCUGCAGGACUGCAAAGGAAGAAAGGUUUAGAGGACUUUUGGAGGCUUUUGGAUGUGGGAUUUUUAUGGUUUGUAGGGGACUAAUGGAGGUUGGGACGGUAGACUUUAAAGGAAAAAGGUUGGACUUAUGGUCGGCUAAAAAUCUGGAAAGACAGGGUUGGUGUGAAGAAGGAUUGUGGCGUGGAAUCUAAGGCUAUGGGGAUUAUAUCGUGGGGAAGGCUUGGAGAGAGAUGAUCCCUACAAGGGAGAGUAUGUCCCUUGGAAGAGAAGAGGGGUAUGUAUUUAUAAAGAAUAGAGAGUGGGUGUCUAGGGUUUAUGGCAUGUAAGAAUUGUGAGGAGGUAUGUCAGAAAGAAAGGAUAUGGGGCGCUCCAAUUUAGCGUGAAGGAGUUUGAGGCAUCUAGGUUUUCUUAUGAAGAGGGGUUGGCAUGAGACUUCUAGGGUUUUGUUGAGUGGUCCUUGAAUGAUAGCCUUUGGAUGGAGCAUCUUUUUUCUCCUUCGUCAGAUGAUUAGUCGCGUUCACACUUGAUCUUCAUGAAGAGUAAUCUUUUAGUUUGAGCCCUUGAUAUUUAAGUCAUGUUCACACUUAAAUCCAUGUGAAGGGUUAUCUUUUAAUCUGGACCCUUGAAUCUUAAGCUUUCAUCUAAUCUCUUUAUGAAUAAAUCGCAUUCACACUGGAAUAGAAGCUGGUUGCCUAGUUCACUCAAAUCUGAUCCAAUUUGAGUUCAAUUAGAAUCGUAUGAACUCAAACUCCCAAUCACUUACAAAAUAAUUUAGAGAACAUCAAAUUUUAAUAAAAUAAUAUUAAUUAUAAUAAUAUUUAGUAUUUUUAGUGACUUAAUUUAAGUAUCCAUCACAUUCUUCAAUUUGAAUUUUGUUCGUCCUCGAGUAAAGAAAGGAUCUAGAAUUAGACACCUUUUAGCUUAGUUUCGAAUUUUACCAAGCAAUUUUCUAAAGGGCCAUUGAUGUUCAAUAAAACGUGAGUGAGGCAUAUCAUUAAGGUAUUAGUACUAACCAUUAUAAAAAUUAAGUGAAGAAUAUUAAUUUUUUUUAAAUUUUUUCUAAUUUAUCUUUAUCUUUAUCUCUAAAUUAUCUAAUUUUCAUAUGAAUAAGUGUAAUAUUACUUUCUUUCUUUAUUUAUUGAUUUUUUUCUUUAACGUUGUAUUGCUAUUGAGUAUCUUAACCCCUUAAGCUUUCUGUCUGACUCAUAUAGUGAGUUUUCAAUCAAUGACUUCCGAAUCAGAUGGCUUUAGAGUACUAGAUAUAAAAUAUCUCUUGGACUUAUUAGCUCGAAUCAAACAGGCUAUGAGUUAAGACUAGCUUUACAACAGAGCUUAUUUGUCCUUCACAUCUUUUGAUACGAAACUCAAUGCUUAGACAAACAGAUCCGAUUACUCAGCAUGAAGUACUUGAAAAUUAUUUUAUUUUAAAAAUAAUUUUUUUAUAAAGAAAUGUAUAGUCAUUCUAUAUAAGUCCAUAGGAAGUAAACUCUUCUUUGAUGCUGGUAGGAGGAAUUGAAAGUGCUCACAAAAAAAAUGCUUAUGUUCUAGAUUUAAUUCUUUAUUGGAUUUUCUUAAUAUUUGAUUCUUCAAUAUCUCAUAAACUCUCUAAUCUGUACAUCAAUUUAUUUUUUUAAAAAAAUACUGGAUUCAGCUCGAUUUUUUAGCAUAAUCGGAUGUCUAACCGCUAAAUACUAACUUAUUCGAAGACUUUAAAAUUUAUUAUUAUUAUUAUUAUUCUCUUUCUCCAACUUAAUCGACAUUAUCCUUAAUGGAGUAAGAAAAAUAAAGGAUACAGACAGAGUAAGAAAAGAAGAGAUGUCACCUGACUUAGAUGUGUAUUUGGUUCAGUCUGACCUUUAUGAUUUCACUCGAAGUUUUUUCAAAAUGAUUCUCCCCCCAAUUUAGUCCUAUAUUUAAAAAGAAGGAAGCUAAAAAUAAAAAAAUUCAAAUAUAAAAGCUGGAUUGCCUUCCAACAAGUACUAAGUUUAAAGUCUUCAAUCAAACUUUCAUUAAGACUACUAAAAAAUUGGAUUGUCUCUCAACAAGCUUUAAGUUUAAAGUUUUCAAUCAGACUUCAUGAUUCUGCCUAUCCCGUGUUGAAUAUUGGAUUGACAAAUUUCAAUGAUUUUGGAUUGUCAAUCUUAGGAAGAUAGUUUGCGACCACAUUAUUGAUAAAGUCCAUUAUUUCUUUAUUAUCAAUUUUAGGAAGAUGGUUUGCAAUCCCAUUCUCAUUCUCUUGUUUAUUGAGAAUUUCUCCUAUAUCUUCUAAAAUGCUUCUAAAUUGAGUUUUUGUAUUAGGAGUUAGAUUCGAUGCACUAAUUAUUGGGAGCAUGUCAUAUGGUCCAAUGCAUACAUACUCAAGGUGUGAUUGAGGGUGGCUUUAGUUCUAGGACUGAUGGCGAUUCUAAAGAGGGAGCUAUUGGAGUAGGUAUUGGAGGUAAAGGCUCAUAUUUCUCAGUGCAUCGGGGAGUGGUGCUAAAAUUAGAUGGCUCUAAUAAUGUGUGUAUAUUUUCAACAUAUUCAUCCAGAUCAAAAUCAUCCACUCCAAAAGGAUCCCAAUAUGUAUGCACUAGGUCCUGAGAAAUUCUUCUAGGGUUAGCUUCCUCUAUUGUAUCUUUUAGGGGUGAAGCCAUAUGGUAUAAUUGGAUUGCUCUGAUUAAUUUUUUUAAAAAAUUUAUUUAAAGAAAGAGGGAGAGAAGAAGAAGAGAAGAGAAGAGGAAGAAAGAGAGUUCUAAAGAUGAGAAUCCUAAGAGAGUCCUAGACCUAGAGAUGAUAGAUGUGAAGAAUUUAAUUUGGGUUAGAUAUUUUCAAAUAGCAAUCAAGUAGGUCAAUCAAUUUUAGCUAAGGGUUGUUCUAAAUCUAGACAGCUUCUAAUUGCAAGGUCACCUUCGAGUACUUCAAGUAAAAGACUAGCCACUCAUCUGGCCAGAUAAGUGUAAGAUUGGUGGGGAUCCCCCUAUUAUUUUCCUUAGAUACCAAUUAAAUUGAUCAGAUAAGCGAACGGAACUAAUUAAUGUACCACCUUCCUUCGGGAUGUAAUUCUUGAACCACUUUUCUAGAUAUCAGUUAAACUGAUCAAUCUUAAUUCGAUCCAAUUCUUAGGAUUUCUUGUCCUAUUGAGCCCAAGAGUCCUUAGGGGCCAACAUCUAAUUGAUUUUAAAUUAAAAUUUAAAUCAAUAAAAAUGCAAGAUGGUUGUUUUUGGAUUAAGAAAAGGUGAUCAAAUCUCCAUCUUAUCUUGUUUAAUUGGGUUAAAUGUCCUUAAAUUAAUUAUAUAAAGAUACAAUGCAAACACACUAGAUGUCCAAUACAAGUAAGAAGCUUUUAAGGUUUAAUUAGUUUUAAUAUAUUAAUUAAAUAUUACAAGGUGUUGGAUUUGUUUUUUUUUAUGUUAGGUUAUUUAAAGCAAAAAAAUAACAAUUAGGUUUUAAUUAAGUUAAUUAGAUUUAAGGAGAUUUAGAGAAUCUAACUAAAUAAAAAGUAAAUUAGGCUAAGAUUAAAAGGCAACUAGAUCUUCUAUAAAUAAAGCAAUUAAAUCUAAUUUUAGGAUAGUAAGUUAUUUCAAGUUAUAAAAAGUAGUAAAUCACUAUGUUAUAGGAAGCAGAAAAUUCUUCUAAAGUACUCUAACUAGAAAGCAGUAAAUCUACCACAAAUGAAAAGCGAUAUAAGGUAGAAAUUUAAAGAAAAUAAAAAUAUGCAAUUAAAAUAAAGCAAUAAAUAAUUUUUUUUUGAUUUUUUUAAUUUUUUUUUAGACUCGAAACAACUAAAAUACGAUCUUCAAUAAUGGUAUCAAAAUUUGAUCGCUAUUGUAGGCAUCAAAAAUAAUUAUUUAACUCACAAUUAUAUAGAUAGGAUGAGUCGAGAUUAUAUCCACAGAGACUGUAUUAAUUAUGGUUGAGUCGUUUUGGAUUUAAAUUAAAGAAUCAAGUAGAAAGCAAUUAAGAAACUAUUUAGAUUAACUAGAAAGCAAGUAAAUAAAGAGAAAUACUUAAAGAUUGGUUGUAGAUAUGGAAGUUCUCAGGAUUUCAACUGCUCUUUUAAUAGACAGAUGGUAUCCUUUUUAUCAUAUCUUUGCUACGUAUCUAAUCAAUAGAGAUAUAACCUAUCUUAGAGAGCACGGUCCGUAUCCAUAGAUCACGGUUCGUCUCUUAAAGUUAUAGGCUAGUCAAAAUUGAUUUAGAUACCAUAAAAAAGUUAUGACCUAAAGAUAAUCUAUCUCAAGAGCAUGAAUCGUACUCAGAUCAUGGUUUAUCCCAAAGAUAAUAGACUAUUCUAGAUCGAAUUUUUUUAAUCUAUAAAUAAGUUUGCGAUCGAUUUUUUAGUUGUAAAUUUUUUUUAAUAUUUUGUAGCCAAAAAAUCUAUCGUAAAAGUUUUUAAUUAUUUUUAAUUUAAAUAUAUUUACGAUCGAUUUUUCAAUUGUAAAAUAAUUAAAAAAUUGACGAUCAAAAAAUUGAUCAUAAAAUUUUUGAAUUAUUUUUUAAUCUAUAAAUAAGUUUGCGAUUAAUUUUUUGGUUGCAAAAUAAAAAUUUUGCAAUCGAAAAAUCUAUCAUAAGAUUUUUUUAGUUGUUUUUUAUUCUAUAAAUAAGUUUGCGACUAAUUUUUUGGUUGCAAAAUAUUAAAAAAAAUUUGUAACCAAAAACUCAAUCGCAAACUUAAUUAUAGAAAAUAAUUCAAAAAUUUUGUUAUUGAUUUUUUAAUUGCAAAAUUAAUAUUUUGCAACCGAAAAAUCGAUCGCAAAUUUAUUUAUAGAUUAAAAAAUAAUUCAAGAAUUUUACGAUUGAUUUUUUGAUCGUAAUUUUUUUAAUAUUUUACAAUCAAAAAAUCGAUCGCAAAUAUAUUUUAUAAUCGAAUAUAAUUUUUUUUAUUAUUUUUUAAUAUGUAAUAAUUUUAGAAUUUAAAGUCUAUCUUCAUCGUUCAUUAGUUAAAUAAUUAUCGUUAGAAUAUCAUCACAAAAGAUCAUCUCGAUCUGAUAGUCCUAGCUAUGUCAAGCAAUAAAAUUUGAUUUCAAUGGUCACGAACAACCGUAUGAUGAUCUAAUAGAUAGAGACCAUCGAUGGGUUCAAAAAUUUACAACGAUGAUCUCGAUGACAUUUGUAGCAUACUAUCAAAAUUUUACUUCAAUCGGACAUCAUUAUCAUGAUUAAUUUAGCAUGGGAUGAUAUGGAUUGUUAAAUGAAAAAUGACUGAUCAAAAGGCCAAAUGGCAUUCGAUUAUAAAGUGAUUUUUUAGAUAAAUAAUCUUUGCUACUUUAAUUAUCUGUAUGGUGGUGAUCGUAAAAUUCAAACCGUGCAUGUACGAACCGUUCACGUUAAGCAGAUCUUACAAAAGCACAAGUAUAAUUACUUAAGAACUUUAAGAAUGAGUAUCAAGAGAUAUAUAGUUUUGGAUUAUUCAUAUAUGUGCGGUUUGAAUUUUACAAUCACUACCAUACAAACGAUCAAAGUAGUAGCAAAGAUCAUUUAUCUAAAAAAUCAUCUUAUAAUCGGAUGUCGUUUGAUCUUUUGAUUACUUAUUUUUUAUUCAACGACCUAAAUCAUCUCAUGCCAAAUUAACCAUGAUAAUGAUAUUCGAUUGAAGUAAAAUUUUGAUACUGUGCUACGAAUAUCAUUGAGAUCAUCGUUGCAGAUUUUCGGACCCAUCCGUAGUCUCUAUCUAUCAAAUCAUUAUGCAGUCGUUCAUGAUCGUUGAAAUCAAAUAUUAUUAAUCGACAUAGCUAGGGCUAUCAGAUCGAGGUGGUCUUUUAUGACGAUACUCUAACGAUAAUUAUUUAGAUAGUGAAUGGUGAGAUGGAUUUUAAAUUUCAAAAUUAUACCAUAUUCAGAGAAAAAUAAAAAAAAUUAUAUUCAAUUGUAAAAUAUAUUUGCGAUCGAUUUUGCAGUUGUAAAAUAUUAAAAAAAUUUACAAUCGAAAAAUCGAUCGCAAAAUUUUUGAAUUAUUUUUUAAUCUAUAAAUAAGUUUGCGAUUGAUUUUUUGAUUGCAAAAUAUCAAUUUUGCGAUCGCAAAAUUUUUGCAUUGUUUUUUAUUCUAUAUUUAAGUUUGCGAUUGAUUUUUCGGUCAUAAAAUCUUUUCAUAUUUUGCAACCGAAAAAUCGAUUGCAAAUUUGAAUUUUGAAAAGAAAAAUUGGUGCCUUUAUUUUUAGAGACCGAUUUAGCAAUUGAUGAAUUGGUUGCUAAAUCUUCUUUAUAACCCCCUUCUCCCAACCACAGUUGUACCCAAACCCCCUCUUCCCCUUCCUGGCGAUCGACCGUGAUGGCCAACCCUUGCUGGCCCGUUCGUGACGGCCCCCCCUCCCCUUCCCAACGACCGUCCGCGAUGGCCUCCCCUUGCUGGCCCGCCUGCAAUGGCCCCCCCUCUCCGGCAUUCGAAUUCCUUCUUCCCCUCAGUGACCGCCCAUGACAGCCUCCCCUUGACGGCCCACCCGCGACGGCCCCCCUCCCCUCCUUGACGAUCGUCCAUGACGGCCUCCUCUCACUGGCUCGCUCGCGAUGGCCCCUCCUUCAGCCUCCCCUUACUGGCCCGCCUGUGAUAGGCCCCCCUCUCCUCCCCAGCGACCGCCCACGACGGCCUUCCGUCGUUGGCCCCAUCGCGACGGCCCCCCUCCCCUCGAUGACCGCCCAUGAUGGCCUCUCCUUGCUGGUCCGCCCACGAUGGCCUCCCCUCACCAUGCUCCAUGUUGUCACUGGCGUCAACCUUCGUCGGUCCAUAGAGAGGUGAGCUGUGAGAAACGGACGAAAAACACCCUUCGGUCCAUAAUGGACCUCGAGAAACCAGUCGUUGGUCCAUGCCUCGCUCCAUGGACCACAUCGGCCGAAUUUUAUUUUAAAUAAUAAUAUAAAAAUAAAAUAUAUAAUAAAUAAAAAAUAUAAUAUAAAAAUAAUAUAAAAAUAUGAAAUAAAAAUUUAGUGAUUGAUUUUGCAAUCGAUUUUGAAAAUUAAAAUAUUAUAAAAAAUAAAUUACGACAUAUUUUAAAAUCAAUUUUUUAAUUAAAAAAUUUAAAAAUAAUUAACAAUCGGUUUUGCGAUCGAUUUUAUUCAUAAAAAAUAUUUUAACAAAAUUAGUGAUCGAUAUUGCAAUGAUAAAUUAAUUAAAAAAAUUAAAAAUAAUUAGCGAAUGAUUUUGCUAUUGAUUUAUUAAUAAAAAAAUUUAAAAAAUAAUUAGUGACUGUUUUUGCGAUCGAUUUAUUAAUAAAAAAUAUUUUAAUAAAUUUAGCAUUCGAUUUUGUGAUCGAUUUUUACGAUCGAUUUUUGCAAUCGAUUUUUAACAAAUAAAAUAUUAUAAAAUUUAAAUUAUUUUUUUAUUUUUCGAUCGCUAAAUCGGUCGCAAAAUUUUACGACCGAAAAAAUCGGUCGCAAAAUAUUUUGCAACCAGAAUUUUUGCAACCGAUUUAAAUCGAUUACAAAAUAAAUUAACAAUUUUUUUUUUUGCAAUCGAUUUUGUGGUCGCUUAAAUCCUAUUUUCUUGUAGUGGCACUCCCGCUUCACUCAACUGAGCCGGACUUGAUCCUAGACUGGGCUAGGAAGUCGGGUGUAAAAAUUGCGGAUGCGUAAAAAUUGCGGAUGCGGAUGCUGACAACUUCACCAAUUCGCUUCUCAGUCUGGAGGAAAAAAGUGUUGGUGUGUGUCUGCCUUGGCACCUCUGACAUCCAUGGUUUAUCUCAAAGCCUGUUGUUUUGAGUUGGGUGGGAAUCGCAAUUACGAUAUGGUCUGUCACAGUGACUACCUAGUUAUCUCCUUGUUUUCUCGUCUUGUUCCUUCCACUUAUAGUGCGUCUAUCUAUGGAUGUCACAUGCUCCUCUAGGGAUAUUUCUCGGGGAAAGUUGUCCUUCACCUUGGCACAUUACUGUCUUCCUUCGUCUUAUGUACGGUUUCUUAGCUGGCAUAUCAUGUCGAUGGUCUGUUGGAAUGUAAGGGGUCUCAGUGAUCCUGUAAAAAGAAAAAUUGUCCAAGAUCUCCUUGAAUCCAAUACCUGCUUUGUUGUUGGCCUUCAAGAAACAAAACUCGAAAACCCUUCCGCAGGCAUCUUGAGGUCCCUUUCUUGUUCCAAGAUCAACAGGUGGGCAGCCUGUAAUGCCAGGGGCUCCGCAGGUGGCAUUCUCAUUGGUUGGGAUGAAAGUAGACUUGAUGUCUCUCAUACAGAUAGCAGGAGGUUCUCUGUUACAGUUCAUUGGUGGGAUAGAGCUCUUCACUUAAAUUGGUCCUUCACAUGUGUAUAUGGUCCGGUUGAGUGCUGUCUCAAACCACUUUUCUGGCAAGAACUCGGGGAUAUUCAUGCAUCCAUCCCUGGCGCCUGGGUUGUGGGGGGUGAUUUUAAUGCUAUCAGUAGAGUUGAGGAUAGGACUGGACCACCUCAGCCAAGCAAAGUCUCGACUACUUUUUGUGACUUCAUCUGAGCGGCGCAACUCACUGACUUACCUCUCAAAGGGAGGUUGUUCACCUGGAGCAACAAGAGGGAGCAACCAACCUUUGUGUUGCUAGACAGGAUUCUGAUCUUGUCUUGAGAUUGAGGACUGCUGCCCGCAUUCCUUUCUUGAAGCCUUGGCCAACCCUUGCUCGGACCAUGUACCAAUCAAAUUAUCUUUAGGGAGUCAAAAAUUGCCAAAAAGAAUGUUCAGAUUUGACCGAUGUUGGGUUGGAAAGGAAGGUCUCCGGGAGGUCAUUGCUCAUUCUUGGGCUGCUGUGGGUUCUAGUGGAAAUGCUGCAGCAAACCUUGUACAGAAGUUGAAGGCAGCUAGAGGGGCCGUCAGAACUUGGGCUGCAAGUACCAAUUCAGCAUUUAGAUCAGCCAAAGACAAGCUGCUCUUGACUGUACAUGAUCUGGACCUGAAAGAAGAGUCUUCUCCGCUUUCAGCUGAAGAAAGGGAUCUGCGCAACACUUGUAAACGGAAAUUAUAUCAAUUGUCUAAAGAGGAGGAAGUCCAUUGGAAGCAGAGAUCCAAAAUUCAUUGGCUUAAGGAAGGUGACAACAUGCAUUCUUUCACAAAAUGGCAAAUUUCAAAAGGAAGCUCAAUUGGAUAUCUUGCAUUGAAUGGAAUGGUGCAGAAUUCUCAGAUAUGAAGUCAGUCAAGAGAAUCUUUGUUGAUUUCUUCAAGAAUAUCUUUGAUGAAGCGGAAGCUCAACAUUUCGAUCUGGACUGGUCGCUACUCUAUCCCUCUGGCCCUUGCCUCACCGAGUUAGAUGCGCCCUUCUCUCGAGAGGAAAUAAAAUUGUCUGUGUUCAGUUUCAAGGGAGACAAAAGCCCCGGUCCCGAUGGAUUCACCAUGGUGUUCUUUCAGAACUUCUGGGACCUUGUUUGUGAGGAUGUGUUCGCUUUAUUUCAGCAACUCUAUGAUCAAAACUUGGAUUUAGACGGACUUAAUUAUGCCAUUCUUAGUCUUAUUCCUAAGAUUGAGGCGGCUAAGGACCCGUCGGACUUCCGGCCGAUCAGUUUGGUGCAUAGCUGUAUCAAAAUUAUUUCCAAAAUUUUGGCAAACCAUCUUCAACCUUAUCUUCAGGACCUUAUUUAUCCUUCUCAGACAGCUUUUAUCAAAGGAAGAUGUAUCAUGGACAAUGUCCUCUGUGCAAAUGAAAUUCUCCACCACUCAAGAAGAUUUGAAACUCAUGGGGCGGUUUGUAAACUUGAUUUUAGGAAGGCUUUUGAUAGAGUCGGUUCCCGCUUCCUCAUCCAUCUCCUUGCAAAUAGGAACUUUCCCCCUCGCUGGAUCUCUUGGGUCUCCAAUAUUCUCCUCUCCUCUAAAGUAGCUGUGAACAUCAACAGCGAGCUCACCAAUUGGAUUUUUUGCAAGAGGGGGUUAAGACAAGGUGACCCACUUUCUCCUUUUCUUUUCAUCCUUGCGGUGGACCCCCUUUGCAAAAUGCUGAACGCAGCGGCAGCAGCAAAAAUUUAUGAGGGUGCGGGCAAUCCUUGGCGUUGUGGUGGGACAAAAAUCUUGCAAUAUGCUGAUGAUACCCUUGUGUUCCUUAGAGCUGAAAGGCAAUAUUGUGCUGUCUUGAAGAUUAUCCUCUUAUGCUUUGAGUUAAUUUCUGGUUUAUCGGUGAAUUUUCGGAAGAGGUCCAUUUCUUGCAUUGGAAGAAGUUCUGAUUCAAUUAGACACUGUGCUUUAUGGCUCAACUGUCCUAAGGUUGCGCAUAAGUUCAAAUACCUAGGCUUACCUCUCUGUGGCGCGAAACCAUCCAAGGCUGAUUGGCUUCUUCUCAUUCAAAAAUUAGAAAGGAAGCUGGCUUCAUGGAAAUCUAAGCAUCUAUCCUUUUGCGGUAGGCUGACAUUAAUCAAUUCAGCUCUCACUGCUCUUCCCCUUUACUUCAUGUCCCUUUUCAAACUUCCGGUGUGGGUCAUCAAAAGGAUCGAUAGGUGUAGAAGAUCCUUUCUAUGGUCUGGUGCUUCCUUAGCUUAUGGUGUAUCUUGCAAAGUAAAUUGGGGAAUGGUUUGUCGCCAGAAGGAUGAAGGGGCCUUAGGGGUCAAGGACAUUACCCAGAUGAAUAUGGCUCUCCUUGCUAAGUGGGGUUGGUGGCUCCUAAAGCAUGAUUCAGGUUUGUGGUGUUGUCAAAUAGAGUUUGCUUACCAUAAAAAGUAAAACGAUCUCCUUGCUGGACACCACCUCGAAGAUGUUCCAACUUAUGGAAGAAUGUGAUCAACUCGCUGCCGGCCUUUUGGAACCGGGUUUGGGUUCAAAUAGGAAAUGGGAAAGAAACCAUGUUCUGGAAAGAUACCUGGCUUUGUGACUCCCCUUUGACAGUCAUUUUCCCCACCUUGUAUGCAAAGAGCACUAAAAAGAAUGGGUUAGUUUAUGAUUUCUUCAACCAUAGAUCUCAAAGAUGGACGUUCAGACCUUCGAUGUUGUCCAUCCGAGCACCCACCAGCAACUUCUCCUGCUGCUUUCGAUGUUGGCACCGAUCGCCUUUGACGAGCAACAAGACAAGCUGAUUGGACCCAGGAAAACAAAGGAGAAUUUUUCUGCUCAUCAAUGUACCACUUCCUCAACUCAACAGGCGUAAGGUGCAGAUUUGCAGGCUCUCUUUGGGACCUUUGCGUUCCCCUGAAAAUCAAAUGUUUCUUAUGGCUCUGUUGGAAAAAAAUGCUCUGCACCUGGGAUCUUCUUUCCAGGAAACUGAACAAGAACCUUGGUGGAUGUGUUCUAUGUCAAAGUGGAGUGGAGUCGGUAGAUCAUCUGUUCUCGGAUUGCAAUUUUUUUUUGGCGACAUCUGGAGAAAUGUCUGCUUACUGCUGCAGGUAUUGCCUUCCCAUACUAGCUUUGAGAGCCUGUGCAUGAGUUGGCUUCAUCGGAACUUCUCCAAGAAAUCCCAUCCUGUGAUGCUCAUGCUCAUUGGAGCAAUAACCUGGGUUUGCUGGAAUGAGAGAAAUGCGAGAAUUUUUCUCAACAAACGCUCUUGUUCAGCCAUUAUUGCAACCCAUGGGAUUCAUCUCUUCAAUCUGUGGUCCACCCUCUGCAAAGAUAACCUCCUGGUCGAGCAUGGAAAAAUCUGGAAUCAAGUCAGAAGCCUGCCAGAUUCUGUUCCUUAAAAUUCUGUUGACUGAUGGUGGCCUUUUGAGGCUUUCUUUCCUUGUUGUUUAUUUCCUGUUAGAGGCUUGGUGGUUUUUUUGUUCUCCACCAUCUAGGGUGGUGUUUUUUUUGGGAUAGUCUGUCACUGUUACUGUCUGCCUCCAGCAAUGGAGGCAGCACCUGUAUAUUCUUUUCCCUUCCCUAAUAAAGUCAGGUGGCUGCUCCUCAGCCUCCAUUUGCCUCAAACAAAAAAGAGAAGGAAGUAAGGAAUAGGAUAUUGUAAGAAGAUAUAAAAGAUAUAUGAAAUUUCAUUAAGUUAUAGAUCAUUUAUUUUAGCAUUACCGAUCGAGUGACAAAUUCUCCAACCCAAGGGACUCUGUUGGAAGAACUCAGGUGAAAAUAUAUUCUGUUCUAAUAUUUUAUCAUCAGAAAAUCUAAAGAUAAUGUUUUUUGAUGCCAGUGAACUAGUUUUAAUAUCACUACUGCAUUUGCGAAAAUAUUGUGUGUAAUAUUUCCUGAGGUUUUAUUCCUUUUCAGUCACUGUCACGGACAAUAACAUAAUUGGUUCUUGUUUCUUCUUCACUUAUUCUUGUUGUUUGUAUAGGAACAGUAUUUGCAUAUAUUCUUUUCUUUAAAUCCAUUGGUUGUGCGAACCAUAUCUGUGUCUGCAAGCAAUGUUUUUUCUUUCUUACUCCUGAAUCUCUUAAUCUUAUCACUGUGAAACUUAGGAGAAUUUGCUACUUUGGACAUUUUUUUCAAUGAAAUCCUUAAUUAUAUCUAUAAAGAAUGAAAAAAGGCAUUUGGUAUCCCCCCACAAAAGAGGCAUAUGAACAAUUAAAAUCAUAGUAAGAUAGUUGGAACUCUGCCUGAUAAAUAUAUUUGUAGAAUGAAGUCCAUGAAUUCCGNNNNNNNNNNNNNNNNNNNNCUUAAGAUUUCUAACACUAGAACACCAAAGCUGAAGACAUCUGAUUUCACUGAAAAGAUACCACCCAUUGCAUACUCCGGUGACAUAUAUCCACUGCAUGUCAUUAGCAAAAUUAGUUUAUGCAACUAGGAUAUUGCACUCAGAUUUAUACUUUAUGAGUUGAUACACUUAUGUACUUACUAUGUCCCAACAACUCUAUUUGUAUUCUCUUCAAUUUGGUCAACCUUAAAAAUUCUUGCAGUACCGAAGUCUGAGAUUUUUGGGUUCAGCUCCUCAUCAAGAAGAAUAUUGCUGGCCUUCAAAUCUCUGUGAAUAAUUUUCAACCUAGAGUCUUGGUGAAGGUAAAGAAGUCCUCGAGCAACUCCUAAGAUGAUGUCGAGGCGCUUUUGCCAGUCCAAAAAUGCACUUCUUUUACUAUCUGGUCCAAAGUUACACUCAUUGUUAGCUUGACAAAUGUAUUCUGAAAUUCAACUUAGCUACUUGUUCUUUACCUUUUUCCCUUUGAGAUAAGUCCACUACAUAUUUCAAAUAAAUAUAAUCUAUCAUUUACCUAUAUGAUACUCUUUAAAUCCAUGAUUAACCUUAUAAUCAUAAGUUGCACAUGUAUUUAGCAUAAGGAAAAAUGCCUUAUAUGCAGAACCUUAUACAAUUUGAAAUAAAAUGAUUUGGCACCUUAGUUUAUUAGCAAGGAUGUGAGGUUCAGAUUCUUGCCAUUUCAUUUCAAUAGGAGGUCUAAUGCAUAGUGGUGAGAUUAAGGGCAAAGGAAGUGCCAAGUUAGAGGAAUCAGAUUAUCUACUGCCAUCAUCAGCACCACCUCUGCUCAUCCUUUAAAUAACCAACUUGAUUAACUAAAAUGCAUUCUAUCAUAAUUUCAGUCCCUACAAAUUCAUACCACAUCCACCCUUUUUUUUUGACUGAUAAAAAUCUAUGUAGUGUAUGAAAAGUCAAAUGGAUAUUCUUCAUGCAGUCUAAGCUUUAACUAGCAACUAGUUUUGAGCCCGCGUGUUGCGCAUGGGUUUGUAGAUCAUAUAAUUGAUCAUGUUUGAAAAAAGAUUUUUUAAGAAUAGCAACAUAAUGUCCGUCCAUAUUCUUAAUGUUAAUAAUGGCAGAUUUUAAUAACAUCAGUUAAUGUACAUAAGUGGGUUUUAAUUCUGUUCAUUGAGAAUAUAAGACUUGCAUUCAAUGCUUUUAGGUAGAAGAGUCCACAUGGCAUGCACAGAUGAGACUUGGCUGCUUAAGUGGACAGCUUCAUUUUCUAAUCAAUCUUCUCUUGGUUUCUGCUUUCUAAUAUAUAUAUAUAUAUUAAAUUAUUAUGUUUGAAAUAAUUUCACCUGAUAUGGAAAAACAAGAUAUCCAUCUUAAUUGUUAAUCCAUUGCCUCAUCAAUCCAGUCCUGGUUUUCUAAAAUCCUGCAUAGUUGACCUACAUGGAAGACCUAAGCAGAAGUCCAAAUAUAAAUUAUGAUCAACUAAAACAAAUAUAGCUGCUAAGCCUGUGAGAUGUCCAUCAAACAUUGCAUUGUAUAUAGGGCAUGAAGUAGUCAAAUGGUUCAGGGAUAAAGACCAAACCGAAUAUGAAAUAGUCCAAACUUGUAUUUUGCAAGUACUCGUACACCAGCAAUCGUUCCUCUCCUUCAAUGCAACAGCCAAGAAGGCGAACAAGAUUUCUGUGCUGAAGUUUGGCUAUCACCAACACCUCAUUUGUGAAUUCAUUUAUGCCCUGCACAGAAUCUUUGGACAACCUCUUGACAGCAAUCUUUUCUCCAUCUUCCAACUGACCCUGCUAAUUUCUACAUUUAGGUGAGUUCCACAAUGCUCUUUUUCCAAAGAGUUUGUAUCUUUUGUAACUGUAGGAUCAAACAGCACUAUGCCCUAUAGUCAAAAAGAUUACCUUGUAAACAGGGCCAAAUCCACCCUCUCCAAGUUUAUUAUCUUCAGAAAAGUUAUUGGUGGCAGUUCUUAUUGUAUGUAUAUCAAAUAAAGGUAACUCUAGCUCGUUUCCUCUGCUUUCCCUGUAGUGGAUGCUAAGUGUUUCACCUAGCAUGAAAAUUUAGUAUAACAAGAUCAAUUAUGCGAGCUUCUUGAAUUCAACUGUACUUGCAUCUCCAUCCCAAAAUGUUUCAAAACAAAAAGAAAAAUAAUACUUGUAAAUAGAACAACAAAAAUUACAUUCAAGACAGCAAUUAUUUUAAUUCAUUCACAAGUAUGUAUUCACAUGGGUACAAAUGUGGAAUUCAUGGUUGACAGAGUGCUAGGUGUCAGGAGCUAAAGAAUAUACUAGGUAACAAUCAGAGCUCAGCAAGGUCUGUCUUAGAAACCGUGCUUAGAUCAAUUAAAACUUGGGUGUCACUCUGCACUGGAAAGAAAGCUGACAGUCAUGCCAUGGUUCAGUAGAGAUCAUCGAAUACAUCGUAGUUUCUUCCUCCAUUGGCCUGCAAAUAUCAUUUAUACUAAUGGGUUGUGGGGCCCCUAUCUGUGUCUUUCCUCAUUACACACACGCGCGCACACAUGUAUGUACCUAAUUAGCAGAUUAAUGAUGAAACAAUAUUGAGGAAAUUUUGUAGUCAUCGUCAAUGUAGAACAAGCCUGCAGAACAUAAUAAAAACAAAUGCAAAGUGCCAUGAAAAUUUGUUUUCAAAAUAAUAUGCCAAUGAAAUGUAGAUGGGUAGAAUUGCCAGCUACUAGCGGCAACAUGUGAAGAAAAAUAUUAAAACUCGAUAUGUGAAUACAAUAUAUUCGAGACUAGUCGGUUGUCCCCACUACUCUCCAAUUCAUCAAAAAAAAAAAAGAAUACAAUAUAUUCAAGACAAAAGCAUUUAAUACAAUUGAAAAUGGUUGUCAACUGGGAUGUGUUAGUUUUAUUCGCAACUGGGCUGACAUUAAUAUAUUCUGUGGUUUUUCUGGAGCUUAUAAUAUUAUACUACCGACGACUAAUAUAUGCAUGUUUUGCAUUUGGGAUGAACACUGGAUCAUGGGACCACUGUGAAUGUGGCUUAAUCAGCCGUUGGUAUUAUUAUUAUUAUUAUUUUUUAACGAGUUGUUGGUCUUUUGAUCCAUGGCGCCACUACUCAGGUUUGAAUAUGAGACCUCUCACUUGGAGGGAUUGGGUACCAACUAGCUGACUUACAAGCUGUUGGUGUUGAAUAGCUGCCGUACUAUUCUCUAUUUUGGGCAUCGUGUAAAAUGUGGGGCCCUAUUUUCUCCACCAGAACCAUAUUCAUUGGGGAGACAUUGGAUUGUGCUGCGGUGAUACAGGUUUUGGGACACUGGAUUCACAUGGUCCGGUCCCAGGUCAGGAUUUCUUUUAUGCGUCUUUUCCAGUACAUCUAAAGCAUAUGUUUCCUUGCAUACUAUUGCUUUCCAUAUUUGCUUAAAACGAGUUUGAAAGUUUUCUCUGAGUUUAUUUUUGGUUUUUGAGAAUAUAUAUUGUAUUCAUUUCUUAUUUACAUAAAAUUAUUCUGAGUUACUUCUAAACCAUUAUCUGAAAAUAGGUGACACCUAAAGAGUUGCAUCUGCCAUCAAUAGUGGCCAUAGAGCUUCAGCAGCUCUUGAAAGUGAUAUGCACACGACUUGUCUUAGGCAUUUUUUGGAUACCAAAAACCCAUCAAGAGGAUAGCCAAUGACGAUUCGCAGCUAAAGCUUCCUCCCUUUGAGACACCACAAACUCAAAGCUAAACAAAAAAAUUAUCUACAGAACGUAAAAAAUGGAUACAGAAUCAUGAGAGAAAUUAGUGUUUGUUUAAAUAAAAUUGAGCCACGGCAGACUCUAAAUAUUAAGGUGCUAAAUGGAGGAAGAGAACAAGAGAAUUAGCAGCUUUCCACCAUAUUGAUUUUACUGCAUCAAAUUUUUAUCCCUAGGGAUCAUUUACUGAUCAAUAUGUUCACUAAUUAUUAUUUCUUGGCCACAACUUUUUCUAAAAGGGAAACACUCAAUCGAACCUUUUUGUAGAACCUUAAAACACCCUUCCAUUACAAUUAGAGGUGGCAAUGCUUAACCUAUGUAACUUGAUUCAAUUUAUUGUAGGUCGGUGCGGAUUACUUGUUUAAUAAAAUGAUCAAGCAUGGGGACCUGUUCAAUAAACAGGUUAGAUUUGGAUAGAUGAAUUUUUGACCGAUCUCAUGUUUGGCCCAACCCAAUUGCUGCCCCUAAUCACAAUGAGCCUGACAUUUGUUCAUAUGUUUUGGUUUGGAAGAGUGAAGUAGGAAAAUAAAAAUUUCCAUUCCUUGUUUAGCUUUUCUUAGAUGCCAAUUCCAAGAAGGAUUGUGAUGUAUCAAGGCAUCCACAAACUAGGUCUAAUGAAAUCAACUAGAGUAUUAGGAUAGGACUGAAAUGCUUGUAACUUGACUAAAAUAGUGUGACAUAGAUGAAGUGGUCAUUGGUGCCUUAAAUUAUCUAAAGAAAGCUAUUUGGUGCACGGGACCAAUACAUUGCACUUCUAAUGGACUCAUGAAUGAUGUCAACUUAAUUAUUCUAUGCAUUGCGCAACCUGGAUAAAAUCAUAUUACUUGUUAGCUUGAGCAUUGAAUACUAUUUUACUACAGUAGCAGGCAUAAAAUUGUUUGAUGGAUUCUUAGUGCCAAAUGUUGAUGAAGUCGGUUCUGAAAAAUGUUGAAGAAAUCAAUGCUAAUACCAGAACUAAAAUUCAUUAAUAUUGUAUAAUAUAGCUUGUAUAAAUGAUAGAUCAUGUCUGUUUGUGUAGGUAAAGGUACCUUGCUUUCUUUUUUUGUUCUUCUUCCACAGAAGUCGAAUACAGCACACAAGUAGAGGAAACCCUGCCAGCGAAGAAAUGAUGAUGACUAUGACAAGCUUCUUUUUACGGUAAUUACCCCUUAUCUGACCUGCACAACAAAUUUUUGGAAUCAGGACUUUCGCUUCGGGUACAUUUCUUAUGAUAUGGAAUCUCAGUUAGAUAUCUUGGUCUACACUAACCUAUCAUAUAAAUGUAUUUUCCGACAAGUAUGUUAGAACAGAUAUACUAAUUUUCUUUCCACUCUGUCAUAAGACAAUGUUUCUAGAUUCAGCGUGCUGAUGAUCACAAACUUAACAGAACUAUAUCACCAAGUCACAUUCACUUAGAACCAUAUAAAGUAAAACAAUAUGGUUAUUUGGACAAAACCAACAAAAUAUGUUAAGAGGUCUAUGAUAAUCUCUUUAGUCAUCUACCCCCCUUUCUCUCAAUAAAGGAUAAUUUCUUUCGUCAUCCGAUGCAACCCAACAGCCAUAUCCCGCUCCUAAAAAGUUCCAAAUGUAGUCUAUAUUACUGGUACAUUCCACACCUGACUCGCGCCUUUUCCUUCCCCUCUCAGGAAAUAAUCGUUACCUAAUUCAGAAGAUGCAAGCCGAACAUAUAGACUCUCUCCUCCUUCGGUGAACAGUCGAAUAUCGACGAGAUCUCCGGUCCAUGUU